GCCCUCAUAGCUCAGUUGGUAGAGCGCAUCCAUGGUAAGGAUGAGGCCACCAGUUCGAAUCUGGUUGAGGGCUCCA
rnacentral:tRNA from 1 species